rnacentral:rRNA from 1 species
AGAGUUUGAUUAUGGCUCAGAACGAACGCUUGCUGCAUGCUUUAUACAUGCAAGUCGAACGGAGGCCCUAGCUUGCUAGGUGUCCUUAGUGGCGCACGGGUGAGUAACACGUGGGAACAUACCUUAUAGUACGGAAUAACUGCGGGAAACUGUAGCUAAUACCGUAUACUCCAGUAAUGGGAAAGAUUUAUCGCUAUAAGAUUGGCCCGCGCAAGAUUAGCUUGUUGGUGAGGUAAAAGCUCACCAAGGCUUCGAUCUUUAGCUGGUUUGAGAGGACGAUCAGCCACACUGGGACUGAGACACGGCCCAGACUCCUACGGGAGGCAGCAGUAGGGAAUAUUGGACAAUGGGGGCAACCCUGAUCCAGCAAUGCAGCGUGAGUGACGAAGGCCUUAGGGUUGUAAAACUCUUUCAUCGGUGAGGAUAAUGACAGUAGCCGAAGAAGAAGGACCGGCUAAUUCCGUGCCAGCAGCCGCGGUAAUACGGAAGGUCCUAGCGUUGUUCGGAAUUACUGGGCGUAAAGCGCAUGUAGGCGGAACAGAAAGUUAGAAGUGAAAUCCCUGGGCUCAACCUAGGAAUUGCUUUUAAAACUUCUGUUCUGGAAUUCAGGAGAGGAAAAUGGAAUUUCCAGUGUAGAGGUGAAAUUCGUAGAUAUUGGAAGGAACACCAGUGGCGAAGGCGAUUUUCUGGACUGAUAUUGACGCUGAGAUGCGAAGGCAUGGGUAGCAAACGGGAUUAGAUACCCCGGUAGUCCAUGCAGUAAACGAUGGGUGCUAGUCGUCGGACUUUUGUUCGGUGUCGUAGCUAACGCGUUAAGCACCCCGCCUGGGGAGUACGGUCGCAAGAUUAAAACUCAAAUAAAUUGACGGGGACCCGCACAAGCAGUGGAGCAUGUGGUUUAAUUCGACGCAACGCGAAGAACCUUACCAGCGUUUGACAUGGAAAGUGCCGGUUACAGAAUGGUAACCUUCAGUUCGGCUGGCUUUCGCACAGGUGCUGCAUGGCUGUCGUCAGCUCGUGUCGUGAGAUGUUGG